ACACUCGUGGUUGUUCUAUGGGUUCAUCUGAGGCAUCUUGCUCACUCGAGGUCUUUAAGGCGGCUCUCAUUUUUGGUGGCAUUCUGUACUAAGACAAAGCAAGUACCAUGUUCAAAAUUUCAAAUCCAAAAUUGUCAAAAUUGUAAGUAGGCUCUUUUAAGGAUUUAAGAGUUUGUGCAAUGUUGUUAGUUCCUCAUGCGAG
rnacentral:lncRNA from 1 species